CAAAGAUAAGCCUUCCCGCAUGCUACGGAGAGGCCACUGUUGGAACAUACAAUGCUACGUUUCAGUACUUCGGCGUCUCUUGUUCUUGCAGUCACUCUCAUAGUCAUAUGUGAGAACUUUGGAAGCGCUUCGAACCAUAACGUUGGAACUAGUCCUAUGUGUAUGGGAACAUGCUGGCUAAGACCAAAUGGAAGCUUUUAUGGAUGUCCAGGGUUGGGUGCAUGUGAGUGUAACGGCGUAGACAAAACAACGGACUGGCCGAAACAAGGUACCUGCAAAGACAAAACGUCAAGACGCCACUGAGAUUUUUUUGUUUUUUAGGAAGCAACGAAAUAAAAUUUGCUUUGCUCAUAGUUAUCUAA